UUCUUGGCUAGAGUUGUAUUGC
rnacentral:miRNA from 2 species